UGCAGUCGACGAUGAAGCCCUUCGGGGUGGAUUAGUGGCGAACGGGUGAGUAACACGUGGGCAAUCUGCCCUUCACUCUGGGACAAGCCCUGGAAACGGGGUCUAAUACCGGAUAAUACUUCCACUCGCAUGGGUGGGGGUUGAAAGCUCCGGCGGUGAAGGAUGAGCCCGCGGCCUAUCAGCUUGUUGGUGAGGUAGUGGCUCACCAAGGCGACGACGGGUAGCCGGCCUGAGAGGGCGACCGGCCACACUGGGACUGAGACACGGCCCAGACUCCUACGGGAGGCAGCAGUGGGGAAUAUUGCACAAUGGGCGAAAGCCUGAUGCAGCGACGCCGCGUGAGGGAUGACGGCCUUCGGGUUGUAAACCUCUUUCAGCAGGGAAGAAGCGAAAGUGACGGUACCUGCAGAAGAAGCGCCGGCUAACUACGUGCCAGCAGCCGCGGUAAUACGUAGGGCGCAAGCGUUGUCCGGAAUUAUUGGGCGUAAAGAGCUCGUAGGCGGUCUGUCGCGUCGGAUGUGAAAGCCCGGGGCUUAACCCCGGGUCUGCAUUCGAUACGGGCAGACUAGAGUGUGGUAGGGGAGAUCGGAAUUCCUGGUGUAGCGGUGAAAUGCGCAGAUAUCAGGAGGAACACCGGUGGCGAAGGCGGAUCUCUGGGCCAUUACUGACGCUGAGGAGCGAAAGCGU
rnacentral:rRNA from 1 species